AAAGUGAGUAGAUGGUUUAGGAGGGUCCUAUGUUCAAAAGUUUGCUGGUGUGUAUCUUUGUUGGCUCGACAUGUUUUUAAUUUAUGAUUGUUGUUGGUGGAGAGAGCGGAAGAUGCCGGGGACAGUUUGGAGAAGAUCAAGCGGCAGCUGGCCUCUGGGUCUGGUCGGAAUUUGUUGCAGGGUCCCCUUCUAAAGCGAUCUGAAACAGACAAGACUUUUAGGUAAAGCAAAUCCUGGUUUUCCAAUGUCAAAAGGCCUUGGCCGCUUGCAGAAUAGUGACCUUGAAGAAUUAAGAGAAUUGGGGUCCGGCACCUUUGGCACUUUUUACCAUGGAAAAUGGAGGGGACUGAUGUUGCUAUAAAACGAAUCAAUGAGAGGUGUUUUGCUGGGAAACCUUCUAAACAAGAUCGCAAGUGAGAAGAUUUUUAGAAUGAAGCAAUUAAGUUUGCUGAUUUGCACCACCCAAAUGUGGUACUUUUUAUGGUGUCGUGCUUGAUGGGCCUGGGAGAUCUGUGGCCACAGUAACAGAAUAUAUGGCCAAUGGUUCGCUCAAAAAUGCUUUGUUGAAGAAUGAAAAGAGUCUUGAAAAGUGGAAGCGCCUCUUGAUUGCUAUGGAUGCGGCUUUUAGAAUGGAACACCUGCACAGAAAGAAUAUUGUGCACUUUGAUUUUGAAAGUGAUAAUCUACUGGUCAAUCUUCGAGAUCCUCAUCACUCAAUAUGCAAGCCAAGAGUGAAGAUUUCCCUACGCAACUUUUGAUCCUGAACGAACCCGACGCAUUCGGAGGUAGUAGGGAGCUGAUUCCUAAGAAGUUGGUUAGUGUUCUUGUUCUGAUUUUUUUACCUUCAGUUAACUACGUUGUUUCUGAAGAAAU